UACGUAGGGUGCGAGCGUUAACCGGAAUUACUGGGCAUAAAGCGUGCGCAGGCGGUGAUGUAAGACAGAUGUGAAAUCCCCGGGCUCAACCUGGGAACUGCAUUUGUGACUGCAUCGCUGGAGUGCGGCAGAGGGGGAUGGAAUUCCGCGUGUAGCAGUGAAAUGCGUAGAUAUGCGGAGGAACACCGAUGGCGAAGGCAAUCCCCUGGGCCUGCACUGACGCUCAUGCACGAAAGCGUGGGGAGCAAACAGG
rnacentral:rRNA from 1 species